CCUUACAGGAAGUGCCCUCUCUGACCAUUCCUUGAGCUUCUUGUCUCUGUUUAUUGAAGACUGAGGAUCUUUGCUGUAACGUGACACUUCCUACGGCUCCCAUAGGCUCUCAGAAGGCGGGAAAAAUCUGAAUGAUGUAAUUCCAGCCCCAUGCUGAAAAACAUUUGCGCUUUUGGCAAGUGCUCUAUCAGAGGACAAUGGGCUGAGGCGCGUGCACGAGGGGUUCCAAUGCUUUUAUUUUCUUUCGUCUUUGAACAUAAACACAGAUUCCCGGUCGGAAUAUUAUCGCUUUUUUAUGAGAAAAAUGGCAUAAAAAUUGAUUUUAAACAGCGGUUGACAUGCUUCGAAGUACGGUAAUGGAAUAUUUCGAAUUUUUUUGUCACGAAAUGCGUCGUGCUCGUCACCCUUCUUUACCAUUCGGAUAGUGUCUUGAACGCACGAACAAAACAGAGGAUAUUUGAACAUAACUAUGGAUUAUUUUGAACCAAACCAACAUUUGUUAUUGAAGUAGAAGUCCUGGGAGUGCAUUCUGAUGAAGAACAGAAAAGAGGACCUGAGCCCUAGGACCAUGCCUCAGGACUACCUGGCAUGAUGACUCCUUGCUGUCCCCAGUCCACCUGGUCGUGCUGCUGCUUUCAACUGUUCUGUCUGCGGCUAUGGACGUGCUACCUUGUCCCAGACCUGCUUUUUUCAACUCUCUAGAGACAGCAAGAGCGGUAGAGAUAGUCUGAAUGAUCGGCUAUGAAAAGCCAACUGACAUUUACUCCUGAGCAAGACUAUUCAAGCGAUCAACUCACUAAUGGAUGAAGAUGCGCUCGGCAAAGGCCAUGAAAAUUGCUACAGAAAAAACCAUUACAGAACCACCCACCAAAAGAAGACCAUGCAGCAUGGAUUGGAGCAUCGGGGAAAAGGACGGACAUGGGAGUCGGAACGUCGAUUCUGGGAGGACAAGCUAAGGGAGCUACGGGAACCUGAGAGGCAGCCUCUGAAUUAUUUUUGGGGGGGCACACGGGGAGUUGGGGUAAGUCAGGCAAUAGACCUGAGCCAACUCCUCGUGCUUAUUAUGGGGAGCGUUUGGCGUGGAAAGCACCGUGCUAUGCGGAAGUGCGCACGGUCUCGCCCAUCCGCAUGCACAGUCCGGUGCGGUCGAUACCAGCCCCCCGCAAGUGCAGUGCUAGAGUGGGCAUCGAGCCAGGAAGGAGUAUGCCUGUUCAGCACAUCUGGCCACCAGUGUGUCUCCUACGCCCAGGCUACCC
rnacentral:lncRNA from 1 species